AAUGCUUUUCCUUAUCAGUAUUUGUUAUAAUAUGUCACAACUAUAACACAGUUACGUAUAUAAGCCUAGUAGUUUAGGAAAGUUCACAACUAACUUGGGUAAUUAUAUUAGUCAUUUCCCCAGAAACUGGAAUACAAUCUGUGACUUCCUCAUUCGUGUCUGUGAAACAGAACCGUUUUAUUCAGCAAUAAUUUGCUUCAUUUAUGUUAUAUAAAGUCCAGAGGAAAGACACCUUUGCAAUCCUCUUUAUAACCAUCAUACAUAAUUUGUUACCCUUAAGAGACACAUGCAGUACUGAAGUGUGAGCAACUUUACUUCAGGGCAGGCUUUUGGUGUCUUCACUUUUUUGCGCUCACCUAAGUAUCUCGAAAGUUUAGCAUUAGCUCUUCCAAACCUUGUGGUUGUACCCAGGUCACUUGGAGGCAUGCAUGGUAGGUCUGGUCUUCAUCCUUGGCAUAGUUCUAAUCUUUAACAAGUAUAUCUCCACUGAGUUUUGAAGCCCUGGAAGUAUAGUUAAUUGGCAUGCCUGUCUAUAUAUGAGCUAGAUCCUAAUGGUACUGGAGGAGGACCAUCGUAUGUGCCUUGCAACAACUUAGCUUCAGACUGUGUAACACCUUGGCCUGUGGUUUAUUCUAGAUCCAAGAGACAAUAGCUAUUUUUUUACUGUGGCAUUCUUAUUAUGUUUUUAUCUCUUGGCCUCAGUCCUGGUUGCAUAUGAUUUUGUAUCAGGGUUUUGUAGGAACACUCAGCUCAACUUCCUCCACGUUUCAUCUUCUAAAGCCUUGUGUGAGACUUUUCUCUCAAGUAUUUAGAGUUUAAACCACGUGUCAAUGAAGGCCACGUCUUUAUUGCUGUCUGAGCCACUGUUGUUGAAUAGAGGGCCCUGGCACAAUGCAUCUUUGUCUUGCACUGGCUAAUAACCCAGAGUACAGCAGGCCUGGCCUGCCAUUAACAUUUACCACCGCUACACUCCUCUCUACUGUAUAAAAACUGAACACUGGCCUGGCCCUGUUCAUUGUUUUCAGAACCUUGACUCUCCUUACCAUUCUCAUCAUCCAAAUUUAUUUAAGGAUGAAACUAUUAGAAACACAAUUGGUGAAUUAAUGUCAUAGGGACUGCUGCUGGCAGCUCAUCAAUUUUUGAUAUGCCACUCAGACAAAUGAAACAUAAGCCACCCAGAACAAGGGGACCUUUUGACACUUCAAAGGAAACCCCUAUGGGUGGUUUCCUCUUGAAGCUACACUAAACUGGCUCGAUCUCCUCAGCUGGAAGCUGCCGAUGUCUCAUUAACCCCUAAAAAGGCCCUGCAUGAGCCUCUCUUUUCAGCUAUAAUUAUGCUGUGCACUCCUGUUAGGCUGCAUGGGAUCGCAACACUGUCACCCGCACAUUAUAAACAUCCAUCCUAAUUGAAAAGCAGAUUAGACUCUUGUGUUAAUUAGCCAAAAAGCCCGCCCACUUGCAUGCAUUAUGAGUGCCUCUUAAAUACUGAGGAUGUUGAAAUCCCUCAGAAAGACAAGGCAGACUUAAUUGCAAUAACCUGCACAUUAAGUUUAAUUUACUUUAAAUUUACCGGUUUAGCAGGCUCAUUUGAUGGUGUUAAUGUUCUAGCAAAUUAAUUAUCUGAAUUAGUCGUGCCUGGUGGAGUUUUGCAGCAGAAUACAUUGUACAGUGGCCUAUUAAUAACAGACAAACAGGGCAGGAUUAAUGAGAAGAUUAUGUUGGAGUUCUUAAAAAAAGAGAUCUUUGCAUGAAUUCAAAUAUAAUCACCAAAGUGCAAAUACAGACUCAGAAUAUAAACAAACUGAGAUUUAUUAUACUCGAUGGCAUGCCGUCCAGGAGAAACAGUAAAACCUGAUAAGGGAAAGAUCCGACAGCAAGAGCCUUUUCCACGGCCUCCUGCGGAUUCCUCCUCUCCACAAACUGUUUCCCAUCAGUGUGCAUAUGUGAAAGCCACGGUGGGCAACUGAAUGCCUUCCACGGGCUGCAGAGAUGAAACCUGCAUGCAGCUAGAAAUAGCUCUCCCUGGCUAACCCUAUUGCCCGUUUAGUAAUUUAUAAUGCUUUUGGAUGCAUUCUGGACCCCACUUUUAACCAUAUCUCUGAUGAGAUCAUGAAAACAUUAGCCUGUAACUAACCUGAAAUAGUGAUUAUGGACAGCCUGUCUUUUCUGUCUGGGAAAGAGCUUUCCACGAUUAUGUUGGUAAUCUGUCAGGGUAAGGUAAGAAUGGAACCAAAUGGUUGGGGAAGGUUAAAUUAUUAACUCCUUUGGGCGAUCAUCUAGAAAUAUAAGACAUCUCUAUCCCUCUUCCUAGCCCCUGAUCCUAAGUCCUAAUGAGUUACAAUAGAGGCUUCAAAACAUUUCCAUAAAGUCUUGCAGUGGAUGAAAUAUUAGGUGAUAUUAGCGCAAAUUGGCCUGUGAUGUGGUAUCAGUCCAGUCCUGACAAAUUGGACUCUCUCUAAAGUCUAUGUGAUGGUCCCAUCAUUACAAAUACUCUCUCUACACUUGCUUCUGAAGAGAUAUGCAUAAGGUCUCUCCACCGUCCACAGCAGCAAGAAAUAGCCUCUGGGUGUCAAACUAAUAAUGGUUGACUGGCUCCAACUAAAUACGGCCAUGAAGUGAUUGACCUGAACAAGCCAGAUUAUUGAUUGGGCUGGAGAUGCCCAAGCCAUCAUUUUCUUGGAGCAGUCACUGCCUUUGUCUUGAUCCCGUCCACAGCUGUCACACUGUGGAGAGCCAUGGGAAGGAUCUACAUUUGCAUCCUCCAUACAUCUAUGCCGCCCCGCUCUGCUUAAAAUAAAAAUGCCACCACUUGAAAGGCCGAGUUGUUGAUUCUUUUCCUUUUUCUUUUUUUAAUUAUAUCGUUAGAAGCUAAGAGUUUGGGCUGAGAGUGGAGGGAGACUUGCUUUAUGGGUGUAUUUAAUUUGGGGGAAAUAUUGAGAAUAAAACUGGUUCCAAUAUGUUCUCUGUAUUGUGUCAAUACAUCACCCGGGUCCUUUCUGGAGUCACAAUUAUCAUUAGGGUUUUUUGUUUUGUUCUGUUUUUUUUUUUGUUUUGUUUUUGUUGUUGUUCUCUGUUGAGUUAACAAUUUGCAGCAGUAAAUGAAACUGGCACAAAGAGCAGGUGUUAUUAAAACUGGGCAGGAAGAGGACAAUAACAACAUCAUUCCACUUUAAAGGCCGUUGUGCGCAGAACUAAAAUGACUCUGGAACCCAUCGGGAAUAGAAAAUACAGCGUAAAGAAAAUGGAUUUCAGUGACACAUAAACAAAAGGCAAAUGACUAAUAUAUUUACAUGUAACAUGUGGUGUGUUCAUUGCACACCAUGGUGACAGAAUUGUUUAUUUCAUUUAUAAUUUAUACGGCAAAACCUUAUUAAAUGUGUAACUAGUUUGCCAGAUAAUGUACAUGGGGGAUGAGGCUUCCAUUAUAGUGCAUUA
rnacentral:lncRNA from 1 species